CUUCGCCACAUGAAUCCACCGAGCGUAGAAGGCGUGGAACCGGGGGAGGUUAGCUAGCCGGUGGAGGGAGUCUUGGCUAGCCAGUUUCCAAAUGGUGUCAGGGACAGCUUCCUGGUCCUGGUCUUCAUGUUUGUCUAACAGCAAAUGCAGUUUUCACAGAAAGACCGUCAACGGGGCUUCUUACCACCGCUGCUUUGGACAGGUACACGGCACACUGGAUUCUGUCCUUUGUCCUUGGACAUUUCUGGAACAUUUGUUGACUUGGAAUAUUCACUGGAAAGAACAUUUGCCUUUUUGUUCAACAUUAGUGACAAUUCGUAGCUUGGCUCGACUAUUCGGUCUUUGAACUUCUAUUCUGUGUUAGUUGUUUUAUCGUUUUUGUGUUGUAUUGUGUGUGUGAUUAAAUUGUCUUAAACGCAAUACAACUGCUUUGUCAUAUUUUGCUGGUUUGAGCAAGGGCAUUUUAGUCUAAAUUCGCACGUAACAAAAGUGGGGGCACGUCCAAGAUCAAAUUCAUUUGACAUUUCAGACAUCUGUUUCAAAGCGUUUUAAUUUUUUUUGCAUAUUUGCAACUUAAACCGUGUAGCCAGCAAAAUGGGAGUUUAAACUUGAGCACUCUAUUAGGUCCUGUACCACUGAAUCAGUCUGUCAUUUGCGCAAGUCUGAUCUUUUGCAACUUGCUAGUCAUUUCCGACUAGAUGCCAAAUGUGCUAUGAGAAAAGUCAAAAUUUUGAAUCUUGUUAUGAGUCAUUACAUGACAAAAAAUUUGUUCAUGAUGUUUUGGCCUUGGUAAAAGAGGGACCUUCAUACGUUUUUGGAGUUAAAGAAAGUGGAGAACUUCUGAUUAAAAUGCUUGGCUGUGUUGUCUUUGAGUAAUUUAGAAAACGUGUCUUGCUUCCUCGAUAAAAUGUCUACAUCUCGGGAUUCAUUUCAGAAUCAAAAGGGCACGUCUGUGCUAUUAAACAGAAAAGUAGAUUAAUUAGCCAAUCGCUCAAUGAUAAUGUUAUUGAUGUCUGAGCUUCCAACCACGUCUACUUUUGAAUUAACUCCUUCCUUCGGAAGAGCUUCACUUCAAAAAGCAUCUGUUUUUUCCCCAACUGACCGUCAAACAGCAGCGGUCGAAAACAAGAUCAAAAGCAUCAUUUCAGACAUUCACUCCUUUGCGUGUGCUUAGCGACUUUCUUGCGAUUACUAUGUUAGUCAUAAAGUGCCCCAAUUUAAUCUUCGACACGAGAAAAAAAAUCCCUCGUUUGACCUUGGCCCGAGCAAAUCCUUUUGCACUGAGCAUUACGAAUUAUUUCAAAGCACCCAAAUGACCUAAACGCCAGCAUCGGUAUUCACAAAGGCCCCUACAGGAAUGUGGAUGCAUAUAUUGAGAGAAUGAAUUCAAUUUGGUCCAGACAAUGUCACCAUGGUCACUUGAGGGUUCGGAAAAGCACAUCUCUUUGCUUUUCGGAGACUUUUUACUGUUUGUUUAGGCUUUUAGGAGUGGCCUCUCAAGGCUAGGAAUUACGACUGAACAUGACUCAGCGGUUAGCACUCUAUAUCAAAGAAGCUUUGUCAGUUGUUUUCACCGAGCGUACAUUUGAGGUGGCAUCGAGUCAACUUCGGAGGAGGCGGUCAUUUCUCUUCGCUGCUCCUUAUUGCAUUACAGUUUUUCAUGGGCCUAGUUUGCGCUUUGUAGUUUCAUUAGCGUUAAGGAUUGGCUCUUUAUCCGUCACUAUCAAAAUGAAUUACACAUCAAAGCGGGUUCGCAGACCCGGAAAUAGGAAGAUUAUAAAGACAAACAGGAUGUGUGUGAUGAUAACUGGAGAACAGGAAAUGUGUUACAUAAACAAAUUAAAUUUACCAUGCAGAUGCUUAUGUAAAUAAACACAUAAAGGAUUUUGAUUAGCAAGAUGAGCCAAAACUGUGGCAAAACAAUAAAUAAAUCCUUGUCUACAAGUGACUUGUUAUGGCGACUGCCGAUGCGUCAAGCCGGGCCCAAUGUUAACAAUGAAGGCGCUAUAAACGGGAAACGGAGGCCCCGCUGAGGACGGCCUCGUCUUGAGUUGCUGUUCUGCGUAAACGGCACUGAUGUGAAGUUUAACACUGUUCUAUAUACGUACACAACACCCAGAGGGAAUGGGUCAACCUUGCAACUUCCCCAUUUGAAGAAAGGCGACACGCAAUGGACCUUUCCGACUGGCGAUCUUCAGCGCCGCUCCCCUUAGCUACAGUUGCCAUGCCCCACAAUCUUCCAAAAUGGCGACUGAACAUAACAGGUUUGAACUGGAUUCUCUAUCGCGUAUCCCAGAUAAUAUUGGGGUAUGAGCAGGACGCAAUGUCAGAGUUACAGCAAAACGUUGGCGAUCGAUGCAAAAAAGUUUGACGCCUCACAAACUUCAUAUUGAAAUCCAACAGGAUAAAAUUGUGGAAUCGUACUGCACAUGUAAAGCAGGGUAAGUACUUUUUACUUGGAAAGAUCACGAGUAAUAUCAUUGUAGUCUUUAUAAGUGAGUGGGUGUAUUCAUUUGACUUGCCUCGUAAUGGAGCCCAGUGCCCUGUCUUAAAGGUCUGAUGCGAUACAAAUGGGCAAAUUUUUCUUGCAUGACAUGGCGCAUUUUCGUAUCACUAAUCCGACUCUUUGGCAUAAAACAUGACAAUUCAUUCAGCAGGUCAGUGAUACACUAACAAAGUGAAAGUUGUUCUCCUGCAAUGUAUAAAGCACUGGUAAUAAUUAAAUCAAACUCAGAGAAGAUACUUCUCCCUCACUUACCUUCGAACAUACAGCCUUGUGUUUGUUGAUAUUGUCCACAUUUAGUUGUACGUGUUGUACGAGCCUUAAUCCAUCGUAGACACUUCGUCAACUGUGUUUUAGGCUUUGUAAAAUGAGUCAACCGGGCCCCUUGUCACCUAGCAGGAUAUCUUUCAUCAGAAUUGCACGUUCCCCAAGCGCAUCUGAGGAUCAUUUUCUUCGUAAGAUUAACUUUUCCAAGCGCACGCUACUGACAACCAGUAUUGCUUGUUGGACAUGACGACAAGAGGGGCGGGUCAAGCCAGGGGUUAAGACAAUGCGGCGAUCUGAUUGGCUAUUAUUGUACGAGUGAUUGACAGCUUGGACAGGUCCAUUAGGGUACAAAGUCAACUAGGCAAUUUUCCAUCUUUGGAAAUAGCAUCAUAAGCAUGUAAAUAACAUUAUUCUUGCCACUUUUCAGACUUUUCCCAUGUUAUAUUUUUGUUGAAUGAAAUCGACAAGGAAUACGCAAGCAAAGCUGGACUGGCAAUUUCUGCCGUACAUACAGUAGCGCAAGUACGAGAUGCCCUGAUUACACUGCAUGUAAAAUCUGUGAUUAAACUUGAACUUGAACUUUUUCACAAUUCGUUGUUCUGUAUACAUAGCACCUGCAUGGAAUGGAGAGAAGUCAGUCAGAAGUAUUCUAGUAUUAGAUGUUCAUAUUACGCGUAUUGGUGAGUACAUAGCGAGUUGUGCUGUGGCCUUCAGAGGUAGCAUCAGAAUCCUCUUUUACAUUCACGUUCCUCUUUAUCUAACCCCAAAACCCUCCCAAAAGUCAAACAACAAGCAACUUUCACUUGUGGAGUUACACUACUCCUUUAGAUUCGCAAUCAGAAGAACUAUUACGAGAUUAGCUGACAUCACACGUGACGAUGAAUUGAUUGACCUUUGAGGUUUUAUGUUUCAUUUUUCCAGCACAUUCGGGUUGUACCACCAUUGGGGCGUUCCACUGUAACAACAUUUUUUUCUCUAGGGCAGAAAUUUCUCCCAUUUCCUCGCCUUUGUCGGGUAUUAUUGAUCUUUCAUGCUUGGAAACGGCGUACGUGAUGCAUUCCGGACAUUCCCAUUGUGCUGCCCGGAUUCCUGGCAUAUUAUGACGGUCUUCCUUCGCAAAACAAUAAAACUGAGCGAG